CGAUCUCCUGGCUCAGGAUGAACGCUGGCGGUAUGCCUUAUACAUGCAAGUCGUACGAGAGUUUUUAACUCUAGUGGCGGACGGGUGAGUAACACGUAAGAAUUUGCCUUUAGGAGGGGGACAACAACUGGAAACGGUUGCUAAUACCCCAUAUGCUUUCGAGUGAAAUGGAUUUCCGCCUAAAGAGAAGCUUGCGGCUGAUUAGCUUGUUGGUAGGGUAAUGGCCUACCAAGGCGACGAUCAGUAUCUGGUUUGAGAGGACGAUCAGACACACUGGAACUGAGACACGGUCCAGACUCCUACGGGAGGCAGCAGUGGGGAAUUUUCCGCAAUGGGCGAAAGCCUGACGGAGCAACGCCGCGUGAGGGAUGAAGGCCUCUGGGCUGUAAACCUCUUUUAUCAAGGAAGAAGAUCUGACGGUACUUGAUGAAUAAGCCACGGCUAAUUCCGUGCCAGCAGCCGCGGUAAUACGGGAGUGGCAAGCGUUAUCCGGAAUUAUUGGGCGUAAAGCGUCCGCAGGCGGCCCAACAAGUCUGCUGUUAAAAAGUGGAGCUUAACUCCAUCAUGGCAGUGGAAACUGUUGGGCUAGAGUGUGGUAGGGGCAGAGGGAAUUCCCGGUGUAGCGGUGAAAUGCGUAGAUAUCGGGAAGAACACCAGUGGCGAAGGCGCUCUGCUGGGCCAUCACUGACGCUCAUGGACGAAAGCCAGGGGAGCGAAAGGGAUUAGAUACCCCUGUAGUCCUGGCCGUAAACGAUGAACACUAGGUGUCGGGGGAAUCGACCCCUCCGGUGUCGUAGCCAACGCGUUAAGUGUUCCGCCUGGGGAGUACGCACGCAAGUGUGAAACUCAAAGGAAUUGACGGGGGCCCGCACAAGCGGUGGAGUAUGU
rnacentral:rRNA from 1 species